GUCCUGUUAGCUCAGUUGGUUAGAGCGCCGUGUUGAUAACGCGGAUGUCAAGGGUUCGAUCCCCUUACGGUCUA